GAUGAACGCUGGCGGCGUGCCUAAUACAUGCAAGUCGAGCGAACAGACGAGGAGCUUGCUCCUCUGACGUUAGCGGCGGACGGGUGAGUAACACGUGGAUAACCUACCUAUAAGACUGGGAUAACUUCGGGAAACCGGAGCUAAUACCGGAUAAUAUAUUGAACCGCAUGGUUCAAUAGUGAAAGACGGUUUUGCUGUCACUUAUAGAUGGAUCCUCGCCGCAUUAGCUAGUUGGUAAGGUAACGGCUUACCAAGGCAACGAUGCGUAGCCGACCUGAGAGGACGAUCGGCCACACUGGAACUGAGACACGGUCCAGACUCCUACGGGAGGCAGCAGUAGGGAAUCUUCCGCAAUGGGCGAAAGCCUGACGGAGCAACGCCGCGUGAGUGAUGAAGGUCUUCGGAUCGUAAAACUCUGUUAGUAGGGAAGAACAAAUGUGUAAGAAACUAUGCAUGUCUUGACGGUACCUAAACAGAAAGCCACGGCUAACUACGUG
rnacentral:rRNA from 1 species